AAUGCGCAGAUAUCAGGAGGAACACCGAUGGCGAAGGCAGGUCUCUGGGCCACUACUGACGCUGAGAAGCGAAAGCAUGGGGAGCGAACAGGAUUAGAUACCCUGGUAGUCCAUGCCGUAAACGUUGGGAACUAGGUGUGGGUCUCAUUCCACGAGAUCCGUGCCGCAGCUAACGCAUUAAGUUCCCCGCCUGGGGAGUACGGCCGCAAGGCUAAAACUCAAAGGAAUUGACGGGGGCCCGCACAAGCGGCGGAGCAUGCGGAUUAAUUCGAUGCAACGCGAAGAACCUUACCAAGGCUUGACAUACACCGGACGCAUCCAGAGAUGGGUGUUUCUUCGGACUGGUGUACAGGUGGUGCAUGGUUGUCGUCAGCUCGUGUCGUGAGAUGUUGGGUUAAGUCCCGCAACGAGCGCAACCCUCGUUCUAUGUUGCCAGCACGUGAUGGUGGGGACUCAUAGGAGACUGCCGGGGUCAACUCGGAGGAAGGUGGGGAUGACGUCAAAUCAUCAUGCCCCUUAUGUCUUGGGCUUCACGCAUGCUACAAUGGCCGGUACAAAGGGCUGCGAAACCGCGAGGUGGAGCGAAUCCCAAAAAACCGGUCUCAGUUCGGAUUGGGGUCUGCAACUCGACCCCAUGAAGUCGGAGUCGCUAGUAAUCGCAGAUCAGCAACGCUGCGGUGAAUACGUUCCCGGGCCUUGUACACACCGCCCGUCAAGUCACGAAAGUCGGUAACACCCGAAGCCGGU
rnacentral:rRNA from 1 species